AAAUGAAUUGACGGGGGCCCGCACAAGCGGCGGAGCAUGCGGAUUAAUUCGAUGCAACGCGAAGAACCUUACCAAGGCUUGACAUAUACCGGAAAAGUUCAGAAAUGUUCUCCCCGCAAGGUCGGUAUACAGGUGGUGCAUGGUUGUCGUCAGCUCGUGUCGUGAGAUGUUGGGUUAAGUCCCGCAACGAGCGCAACCCUCGUUCUAUGUUGCCAGCACGUAAUGGUGGGAACUCAUAGGAGACUGCCGGGGUCAACUCGGAGGAAGGUGGGGAUGACGUCAAAUCAUCAUGCCCCUUAUGUCUUGGGCUUCACGCAUGCUACAAUGGCCGAUACAAAGGGCUGCAAUACCGCGAGGUGGAGCGAAUCCCAAAAAGUCGGUCUCAGUUCGGAUUGAGGUCUGCAACUCGACCUCAUGAAGUCGGAGUCGCUAGUAAUCGCAGAUCAGCAACGCUGCGGUGAAUACGUUCCCGGGCCUUGUACACACCGCCCGU
rnacentral:rRNA from 1 species